GCCUUUUUGGUGUAGCGGUCAGCACGCUGGGCGUGUAUUCCAGAGGUCUGUGGUUCAAGUCCCGGUGAAGGUG
rfam:Stegodyphus mimosarum contig123527, whole genome shotgun sequence.